ACGCUCGACACCUACGGGGGGCAGCAGUAGGGAAUCUUCCACAAUGGACGCAAGUCUGAUGGAGCAACGCCGCGUGAGUGAAGAAGGUUUUCGGAUCGUAAAGCUCUGUUGUUGGUGAAGAAGGAUAGAGGUAGUAACUGGCCUUUAUUUGACGGUAAUCAACCAGAAAGUCACGGCUAACUACGUGCCAACAGCCGCGGUAAUCUGAGCGGGCUGGCAAGGC
rnacentral:rRNA from 1 species